rnacentral:rRNA from 1 species
GCGCGAGAAGCGCUAUACAUGCAGUCGAACGCACAGCGAAAGGUGCUUGCACCUUUCAAGUGAGUGGCGAACGGGUGAGUAACACGUGGACAACCUGCCUCAAGGCUGGGGAUAACAUUUGGAAACAGAUGCUAAUACCGAAUAAAACUUAGUGUCGCAUGACACAAAGUUAAAAGGCGCUUCGGCGUCACCUAGAGAUGGAUCCGCGGUGCAUUAGUUAGUUGGUGGGGUAAAGGCCUACCAAGACAAUGAUGCAUAGCCGAGUUGAGAGACUGAUCGGCCACAUUGGGACUGAGACACGGCCCAAACUCCUACGGGAGGCUGCAGUAGGGAAUCUUCCACAAUGGGCGAAAGCCUGAUGGAGCAACGCCGCGUGUGUGAUGAAGGCUUUCGGGUCGUAAAGCACUGUUGUAUGGGAAGAACAGCUAGAAUAGGAAAUGAUUUUAGUUUGACGGUACCAUACCAGAAAGGGACGGCUAAAUACGUGCCAGCAGCCGCGGUAAUACGUAUGUCCCGAGCGUUAUCCGGAUUUAUUGGGCGUAAAGCGAGCGCAGACGGUUUAUUAAGUCUGAUGUGAAAGCCCGGAGCUCAGCUCCGGAAUGGCAUUGGAAACUGGUUAACUUGAGUGCAGUAGAGGUAAGUGGAACUCCAGGUGUAGCGGUGGAAUGCGUACAUAUAUGGAAGAACACCAUUGGCGAAGGCGGCUUACUGGACUGCAACUGACGUUGAGGCUCGAAAGUGUGGGUAGCAAACAGGAUAUUCGGGGGGGGGGAUAAAAAAUAGGGGGGGGGGGGGGUGUUUGUUUUUG